GCCUCGGUAGCUCAGUCGGCAGAGCGCGUGCCUUGUAAGCCCGUGGCCGCGGGUUCGAGCUCCGCCCGAGGUG
rnacentral:tRNA from 1 species